UUUGUACUCCCUCCAUUCCGAAUUACUUGUCGCAGAUAAGGAUGUAUCUAGAUGUAUUUUAGUUCUAAAUACAUCCAUUUCUAUGACGAGUAAUUUGGAACGGAGGGAGUACCUG
rfam:Triticum aestivum genome assembly, contig: Triticum_aestivum_CS42_TGACv1_scaffold_020393_1AS